rnacentral:lncRNA from 1 species
AAUGAAACCUCCUUUCCUUUCAGAAGCUCUGCUGACAGUUUGGUGAUUGCCAUUGGGGCAGUGAGCCUUUUGUCCGUUCUGAGGUUGGGCUGGUUUCUCCUCUUGGCCCUGCCCUACAGACCAUAAAGGAAAUCAGCAAGAAGUCCCCAGCAAACAUCCACAGAUGGCCCUGGACAUCAGCCACAUUCUGAGAAACAUGUCAUGUUCUGGGAGGGCUAAGGCAUCAACCUCACCUUGCAGGAAUCCCAGUGAAUAUAUUGCCACCCUAUUUGAGCUCAGUGCCCUCAUAGUGUAAUGGCACCAGCAGAUCUGCCUGUGCAUGGACUUCCUGUACUACCCAUUCCUGAGGGGUGAUGCUUCUGCAGGGCCUGUGACCUGGUGCACAACUUUAGACACCAUCAUCCUGGAGCAGCACUGCACCCUCACUAGCCAGGGUGUUCAUGACUUCCUCAAGGCCAAGGCCACGUUCAAGACUUGGGACUUCAGUGAUGCACUUGUGCUGGGCAAGGUGGCUUCUCCGGUAUCUUAAUUUGGGAGGUAGAAUGCAGCUUGAAAUCAAAUGUCUGAUCAAAGAACUUGAACUUGAUCUGGAGGGCUCUGGGGAGCCAUGGAAGGUGCUGGAUAAAGGAGGGACAGUCAGAUAUGUCUUAGAGAUGACUGUAGAAGGCUGCCUGGAAGGAAUGAACAAGAGCCAGGAGACGCAGGAGGGAGCUUGUGGGGCAGGUCUGGAGAUGGCAAGGGAGGGAUCCUGCUUGGAUGAAAAGUCUUCAGGGACUGUUUCAGGUUACACUCAGGUGCCCUCAGAGCUAAUGUGUUCAGAGGUCUUGUCUCCAGGAUGAAAAUGGGAAGGAGUUGUCAGAUGAGGACAUAUAAAUGGAGGCUGGCAUCUUCAUGAGUACCAGCGGUGGUCCCGGUGUGGGUCUCUCCAUCCAGGGACAUGGUGGAUGGACACUACAUCAUUCCAUUCUGCCCUUCCUUUCCCUCCUCCCAUUCUCCCGAGGGCCUCAGUGCAUGGGCGGUGUCCAACCUCUGGUGCUGAAGCAGCCGAGAGACCCAAGCCUGCGUGGCUGCCUCUUAGGAUAUGACAGCACAGCCACUGGGCUCUACUGAAUCCUGUGCAACCUCAGAAGACACCCAGGAGUGAUGCCAUCACGUGGUGCAAGAGUUCUGAGGGACCGCAAUCCUGAAGACAUUGAAUGGCUGUGUUCCUGCUCACUGCUGGAGGCGCUGUCAGGGGCCCUGUCCUCAACCCCGGGUCUGACCCUUGCAGAUCAGGCAGGACAUUCUGGAGGAAUCAUGCCCUUGGAAGGAUCCCUGAGGAGUGACUGGUGGGUAUUGGUGGAUAAAUACCCCAGCUCCCUUGCUUUGGGUGGGAUGACUCUGAGGCACAUGUUCUGUG